rnacentral:rRNA from 1 species
UGGGGAAUUUUGGACAAUGGGGGCAACCCUGAUCCAGCCAUCCCGCGUGUGCGAUGAAGGCCUUCGGGUUGUAAAGCACUUUUGGCAGGGAAGAAACAGCCUGGGCUAAUAUCCCGGGCGACUGACGGUACCUGCAGAAUAAGCACCGGCUAACUACGUGCCAGCAGCCGCGGUAAUACGUAGGGUGCAAGCGUUAAUCGGAAUUACUGGGCGUAAAGCGUGCGCAGGCGGUUCGGAAAGAAAGGUGUGAAAUCCCAGGGCUUAACCUUGGAACUGCACUUUUAACUACCGGGCUAGAGUACGUCAUAGGGGGGUAGAAUUCCACGUGUAGCAGUGAAAUGCGUAGAGAUGUGGAGGAAUACCGAUGGCGAAGGCAGCCCCCUGGGAUGAUACUGACGCUCAUGCACGAAAGCGUGGGGAGCAAACA